rnacentral:rRNA from 1 species
GCUUAACACAUGCAAAUCGAGCGAGAAUCGUUUAUUGAAGGCUUCGGCUGGAAAUAGAUGAGGAAAGCGGCGAACGGGUGAGUAACGCGUGGGCAACCUGGCCUUAAGAAAAGGAUAGCCCCCGGAAACGGGGAGUAAUACUUUAUGAGAAUGAGAGAGGGCAUCCUACUUUCAUUCAAAGCGCAAGCGCUUAAGGAUGGGCCCGCGUAUCAUUAGCUAGUUGGUGAGAUAACAGCCCACCAAGGCAACGAUGAUUAGCCGGUCUGAGAGGGCGAACGGCCACAUUGGAACCGAGAGACGGUCCAAACUCCUACGGGAGGCAGCAGUGGGGAAUAUUGCGCAAUGGAGAAGAACUCUGACGCAGCAAUACCGCGUGAGCGAAGAAGGUCAUCGGAUCGUAAAGCUCUGUUAUCAGGGAAGAAGAAAAUGACGGUACCUGAUGAGCAAGUCCCGGCUAACUACGUGCCAGCCGCCGCCGUAACAC